rnacentral:rRNA from 1 species
UGGGGAAUUUUGGACAAUGGGGGCAACCCGUGAUCCAGCAAUGCCGCGUGUGUGAAGAAGGCCUUCGGGUUGUAAAGCACUUUUGUCCGGAAAGAAAACGCCGUGGUUAAUACCCGUGGCGGAUGACGGUACCGGAAGAAUAAGCACCGGCUAACUACGUGCCAGCAGCCGCGGUAAUACGUAGGGUGCAAGCGUUAAUCGGAAUUACUGGGCGUAAAGCGUGCGCAGGCGGUCCGCUAAGACAGAUGUGAAAUCCCCGGGCUUAACCUGGGAACUGCAUUUGUGACUGGCGGGCUAGAGUAUGGCAGAGGGGGGUAGAAUUCCACGUGUAGCAGUGAAAUGCGUAGAGAUGUGGAGGAAUACCGAUGGCGAAGGCAGCCCCCUGGGCCAAUACUGACGCUCAUGCACGAAAGCGUGGGGGAGCAAACAGGAUUAGAUACCCUGGUAGUCCACGCCCU